rnacentral:rRNA from 1 species
GACGAACGCUGGCGGCGUGCUUAACACAUGCAAGUCGAACGAAGCGGCGAACGGGUGAGUUACGCGUAAUCAACCUGCCCUUCAGAGGGGGACAACAGUUGGAAACGACUGCUAAUACCGCAUACUGAAGGUGGGGAUUGCGUCUGAUUAGCUAGUUGGUGGGUUAACGGCCCACUAAGGCGAUGAUCAGUAGCCGGUCUGGAGGAGUGAGCGGCAGCAUUGGAGCUGAGACACGGCCCAGGCCACUACGGGAGGCAGCAGUGGGGAAUCUUCCGCAAUGGACGAAAGUCUGACGGAGCAACGCCGCGUGGGUGAUGACGGCCUUCGGGUUGUAAAGCUCUGUUAAUCGGGACGCGGUACCGGAAUAGAAAGCCACGGCUAACUACGUGCCAGCAGCCGCGGUAAUAC